GGAUGUGAAGGCAAUCUGGUUGUGAUAUCUGCCACCUUGUUGGUCACUGAUAUUUUGGCUGAUCCAGCUGGCUGGGUACCCCCUCUUACUCCUUUAUGAAUCUGUAUGCUUGUUUGAAGAGAUUGAACCAUUCUUUGGUAAAAAGCCAUGGGAAUAUAAUUGGAAAGUUAAUUUAUAAAUUUUCUAAUUCAUUGAUUCCACACACACAAGCAACCACUGUGUGCCAGGCUCCAUGC
ensembl:misc_RNA 7SK 7SK RNA